rnacentral:rRNA from 1 species
UACGGAAUGUGCAAACGUUAUUCGGAAUUACUGGGCUUAAAGAGUUCGUAGGCGGCAUGAAAAGUAGGGUGUGAAAGCCCUCGGCUCAACCGAGGAAUUGCGCUCUAAACUGUCGUGCUCGAGGAAUCUAGAGGUGAGCGGAACUGAUGGUGGAGCGGUGAAAUGCGUUGAUAUCAUCAGGAACACCGGAGGCGAAGGCGGCUCACUGGGGAUUUUCUGACGCUGAGGAACGAAAGCCAGGGGAGCGAACGGG